rnacentral:rRNA from 1 species
CAGCACCUCAAGUGGUCAGGAUGAUUAUUGGGCCUAAAGCAUCCGUAGCCGGCUCUGUAAGUUUUCGGUUAAAUCUGUACGCUCAACGUACAGGCUGCCGGGAAUACUGCAGCGCUAGGGAGUGGGAGAGGUAGACGGUACUCGGUAGGAAGGGGUAAAAUCCUUUGAUCUAUUGAUGACCACCUGUGGCGAAGGCGGUCUACCAGAACACGUCCGACGGUGGGGGAUGAAAGCUGGGGGAGCAAACCGGAUUAGAUACCCGAGUAGUCC